AUGAUCUGUGCAAUCUCCGGCGAGGUGCCGGAUGAGCCGGUGGUAUCAAAGAGGUCGGGGCUCCUCUUUGAGCGGCGGCUCAUCGAGCGCUACAUUGAGGACCAUGGAAAGUGUCCAGUUACGAAGGAGGAACUCUCCAUGGACGACAUCGUGCUGGUGAAGACCAACAAGGUCGUGAGGCCCAGGCCUCUGCAGGCUGCAAGCAUUCCCGGACUCCUUGGAAUCUUUCAAAACGAGUGGGAUGCUCUUAUGCUUUCUAAUUUUGCUUUGGAGCAGCAGCUUCACACAGCAAGACAAGAACUUAGUCAUGCGUUAUACCAGCAUGAUGCUGCUUGCCGUGUUAUAGCCAGAUUAAAGAAGGAAAGAGAUGAGUCUAGAGCACUUUUGGCUCUAGCUGAGAGACAGAUUCCUGCGUCGAUGGCGGGAGUUGCACCUGCAGCUGUCGUUUCCAAUGGAAAAAGAGCAAUGGAGGAUGAAAUUGGCCCUGAUGGGAAGAAGAUACGCCCUGGUAUCAAUCCUGUCAUGAUCGAUGAACUAACAGAGUGUAAUACCAUGCUUUCUGCCCAGCGUAAGAAACGACAGGUACCACCAAGUUUGGCAUCAAUUGAUGAACUGGAGAGAUAUACUCAGAUCUCUAGUCAUCCACUCCACAAGACAAAUAAGCCAGGCAUUUUGUCUAUGGAUAUCCAUCCGUCAAAGGACAUAGUUGCAACUGGGGGUAUCGAUACGAAUGCAGUGCUAUUUGAUAGGACAUCUGGUCAAAUCCUGUGCACACUUGCUGGUCACUCCAAGAAGAUAACCACCUUGAAAUUUGUUCCACGGGAUGAGCUCGUGGUAACUGGAUCAGCAGAUAAGACUGUUCGGAUUUGGCAAGGGGGUGAGGAGGGAAACUACAGUUGCAUCCAUACAUUGAAAGAUCAUACCGCCGAGGUCGAAGCUGUUACUGUGCAUGCGACUCAGAAGUACUUUGUGACCGCUGCCAAGGAUAAUACUUGGUGCUUCUAUGAUAUUUCAACUGGGUCUUGCCUCUCACAGGUUGGCGAGGCUUCAGGACAAGAGGGAUAUACAUCUGCGUCUUUCCACCCAGAUGGUCUUAUCCUUGGAACAGGAACUACUGAAGCUGUUGUCAAAAUUUGGGAUGUUAAGACUCAGUCCAAUGUUGCAAAGUUUGAGGGGCAUGCUGGACCUGUCACUGCUAUGUCCUUCUCUGAAAAUGGUUACUUCCUGGCGACUGCUGCUCUUGAUGGUGUCAAGCUUUGGGAUUUAAGGAAAUUGAGAAAUUUUAGGACUUUCUCGCCAUAUGAUUCGGACACGCCGACAAAUUCUGUGGAAUUUGAUUUUAGCGGUACCUACCUUGCUGUUGCUGGUUCAGAUAUAAGGGUUUACCAAGUAGCCAACGUCAAGACGGAAUGGAAUCUUAUCAAGACCUUGCCAGAUUUGUCAGGAACAGGGAAAGUGACUUCUGCGAAGUUUGGCACUGACGCCAAAUAUAUCGCCGUCGGCUCUAUGGACCGUAACCUGAGGAUAUUUGGGCUUCCUGGAGAUGAUCAAAUGGACGAUGAUGCAAAACCAUCGGCCGAGUGA
rnacentral:rRNA from 1 species